CGAGAUUCCCCCAGUAGCGGCGAGCGAACGGGGAGCAGCCCAGAGCCUGAAUCAGUGUGUGUGUUAGUGGAAGCGUCUGGAAAGGCGUGCGAUACAGGGUGACAGCCCCGUACACAAAAAUGCACAUAUUGUGAGCUCGAUGAGUAGGGCGGGACACGUGGUAUCCUGUCUGAAUAUGGGGGGACCAUCCUCCAAGGCUAAAUACUCCUGACUGACCGAUAGUGAACCAGUACCGUGAGGGAAAGGCGAAAAGAACCCCGGCGAGGGGAGUGAAAAAGAACCUGAAACCGUGUACGUACAAGCAGUGGGAGCACGCUUAGGCGUGUGACUGCGUACCUUUUGUAUAAUGGGUCAGCGACUUAUAUUCUGUAGCAAGGUUAACCGAAUAGGGGAGCCGAAGGGAAACCGAGUCUUAACUGGGCGUUAAGUUGCAGGGUAUAGACCCGAAACCCGGUGAUCUAGCCAUGGGCAGGUUGAAGGUUGGGUAACACUAACUGGAGGACCGAACCGACUAAUGUUGAAAAAUUAGCGGAUGACUUGUGGCUGGGGGUGAAAGGCCAAUCAAACCGGGAGAUAGCUGGUUCUCCCCGAAAGCUAUUUAGGUAGCGCCUCGUGAAUUCAUCUCCGGGGGUAGAGCACUGUUUCGGCAAGGGGGUCAUCCCGACUUACCAACCCGAUGCAAACUGCGAAUACCGGAGAAUGUUAUCACGGGAGACACACGGCGGGUGCUAACGUCCGUCGUGAAGAGGGAAACAACCCAGACCGCCAGCUAAGGUCCCAAAGUCAUGGUUAAGUGGGAAACGAUGUGGGAAGGCCCAGACAGCCAGGAUGUUGGCUUAGAAGCAGCCAUCAUUUAAAGAAAGCGUAAUAGCUCACUGGUCGAGUCGGCCUGCGCGGAAGAUGUAACGGGGCUAAACCAUGCACCGAAGCUGCGGCAGCGACACUAUGUGUUGUUGGGUAGGGGAGCGUUCUGUAAACCUGUGAAGGUGUACUGUGAGGUAUGCUGGAGGUAUCAGAAGUGCGAAUGCUGACAUAAGUAACGAUAAAGCGGGUGAAAAGCCCGCUCGCCGGAAGACCAAGGGUUCCUGUCCAACGUUAAUCGGGGCAGGGUGAGUCGACCCCUAAGGCGAGGCCGAAAGGCGUAGUCGAUGGGAAACAGGUUAAUAUUCCUGUACUUGGUGUUACUGCGAAGGGGGGACGGAGAAGGCUAUGUUGGCCGGGCGACGGUUGUCCCGGUUUAAGCGUGUAGGCUGGUUUUCCAGGCAAAUCCGGAAAACUAAGGCUGAGGCGUGAUGACGAGGCACUACGGUGCUGAAGCAACAAAUGCCCUGCUUCCAGGAAAAGCCUCUAAGCAUCAGGUAACAUCAAAUCGUACCCCAAACCGACACAGGUGGUCAGGUAGAGAAUACCAAGGCGCUUGAGAGAACUCGGGUGAAGGAACUAGGCAAAAUGGUGCCGUAACUUCGGGAGAAGGCACGCUGAUAUGUAGGUGAAGUCCCUCGCGGAUGGAGCUGAAAUCAGUCGAAGAUACCAGCUGGCUGCAACUGUUUAUUAAAAACACAGCACUGUGCAAACACGAAAGUGGACGUAUACGGUGUGACGCCUGCCCGGUGCCGGAAGGUUAAUUGAUGGGGUCAGCGCAAGCGAAGCUCUUGAUCGAAGCCCCGGUAAACGGCGGCCGUAACUAUAACGGUCCUAAGGUAGCGAAAUUCCUUGUCGGGUAAGUUCCGACCUGCACGAAUGGCGUAAUGAUGGCCAGGCUGUCUCCACCCGAGACUCAGUGAAAUUGAACUCGCUGUGAAGAUGCAGUGUACCCGCGGCAAGACGGAAAGACCCCGUGAACCUUUACUAUAGCUUGACACUGAACAUUGAGCCUUGAUGUGUAGGAUAGGUGGGAGGCUUUGAAGUGUGGACGCCAGUCUGCAUGGAGCCGACCUUGAAAUACCACCCUUUAAUGUUUGAUGUUCUAACGUUGACCCGUAAUCCGGGUUGCGGACAGUGUCUGGUGGGUAGUUUGACUGGGGCGGUCUCCUCCUAAAGAGUAACGGAGGAGCACGAAGGUUGGCUAAUCCUGGUCGGACAUCAGGAGGUUAGUGCAAUGGCAUAAGCCAGCUUGACUGCGAGCGUGACGGCGCGAGCAGGUGCGAAAGCAGGUCAUAGUGAUCCGGUGGUUCUGAAUGGAAGGGCCAUCGCUCAACGGAUAAAAGGUACUCCGGGGAUAACAGGCUGAUACCGCCCAAGAGUUCAUAUCGACGGCGGUGUUUGGCACCUCGAUGUCGGCUCAUCACAUCCUGGGGCUGAAGUAGGUCCCAAGGGUAUGGCUGUUCGCCAUUUAAAGUGGUACGCGAGCUGGGUUUAGAACGUCGUGAGACAGUUCGGUCCCUAUCUGCCGUGGGCGCUGGAGAACUGAGGGGGGCUGCUCCUAGUACGAGAGGACCGGAGUGGACGCAUCACUGGUGUUCGGGUUGUCAUGCCAAUGGCACUGCCCGGUAGCUAAAUGCGGAAGAGAUAAGUGCUGAAAGCAUCUAAGCACGAAACUUGCCCCGAGAUGAGUUCUCCCUGACUCCUUGAGAGUCCUGAAGGAACGUUGAAGACGACGACGUUGAUAGGCCGGGUGUGUAAGCGCAGCGAUGCGUUGAGCUAACCGGUACUAAUGAACCGUGAGGCUUAACCUUACAACGCCGAAGGUGUUU
rnacentral:rRNA from 1 species